rnacentral:rRNA from 1 species
GAUGAACGCUAGCGGCAGGCCUAAUACAUGCAAGCCGAACGGCAAGUCUUUUAGCAAUAGAAGACCUAGAGUGGCGUAAGGGUGCGUAACACGUAUGCAAUCUGCCCUCAACAGGAGGAUAGCUCCCCGAAAGGGGAAUUAAGCCUCCAUAGGAUCGUAAUGUGGCAUCACAUAGCGAUUAAACUACCAGGGGUUGAGGAUGAGCAUGCGCAUGAUUAGUUAGUUGGCGGGGUAACGGCCCACCAAGACGAUGAUCAUUAGGGGAACUGAGAGGUUGAUCCCCCACACUGGCACUGAGAUACGGGCCAGACUCCUACGGGAGGCAGCAGUAGGGAAUAUUGGACAAUGGGUGCAAGCCUGAUCCAGCCAUGCCGCGUGCAGGAA